rnacentral:rRNA from 1 species
GAUGAACGCUGGCGGCGUGCCUAAUACAUGCAAGCCGAGCGAAUGGAUUAAGAGCUUGCUCUUAUGAAGUUAGCGGCGGACGGGUGGGUAACACGUGGGUAACCUGCCCAUAAGACUGGGAUAACUCCGGGAAACCGGGGCUAAUACCGGAUAACAUUUUGAACCGCAUGGUUCGAAAUUGAAAGACGGCUUCGGCUGUCACCUAUGGAUGGACCCGCGUCGCAUUAGCUAGUUGGUGAGGUAACGGCUCACCAAGGCAACGAGGCGUAGCCGACCUGAGAGGGUGAUCGGCCACACUGGGACUGAGACACGGCCCAGACUCCUACGGGAGGCAGCAGUAGGGAAUCUUCCGCAAUGGACGAAAGUCUGACGGAGCAACGCCGCGUGAGUGAUGAAGGCUUUCGGGUCGUAAAACUCUGUUGUUAGGGAAGAACAAGUGCUAGUUGAAUAAGCUGGCACCUUGACGGUACCUAACCAGAAAGCCACGGCUAUCUACGUGCCAGCCGCCGCAGUAA